AAUAGUUCAUGGCUGUUCUUUGUUCUCACGUGUUGUAGACUCUUAGUCUUGUAAGAUAGUUGCAACUAGGUUUUGUUGGGCUGAGUCUUGGUCUUGUAAGAUGAUGGGAAUUAAAUUAUAAUGACAAACUUGCAUCUUCUGGUUAUUCCUCAUGGUGUGUUAAAUUUUGUUUGGCACCUGUGCACACGGAUGCACUGCAUUCCAUAGAAGUAACAGUUGCAGGUGAAGUACUGCAGGUGAAUGACUGCAGCUCAUUCUGAAUUGUUUUGUCAUGAUAGAUAUAGAAUUUUGAUAUAUGGUGCUGGAGCUUCUUUUCCUGUGGAUACAGUGCGUAGAGUCUUAUAAAGGAAAUUUUUUUGACCACUCAAAUCAUUAGUGAGUUUUCAGCUUUCAGUCUAAUUGGAAUACCUAGAAUUUUUAUUUUUAUUUUUUAUCUUAUAGCCGGAGCUGUCUUCAGAAUACUUCUUUUUGGAAUCAGAUGCUUUCGUUUCAGGUGAGUACUUGGAACUUGAGAAAGGUUUGUAUUUCUGUUUUUCCUUAUCUUUCCCCAGAAUUAAAGCAAAAAUGGUUUUCUUUCUUUGAGAAACACUUGGGGAUCCAUCCAUACUUAUUUUUUCCUUUUUUUUUUUUUCUCUCUCUUCCUGUUUGGGGUAUGUAUGCAUACAAUUUGCUUGGCCCUAGAUAGAUCACAACAGUGAAAACAGUAUUCCUGAUGCUAACCUCAAAUGGUUCAGCUGAGACUUUGUUAGUAGGUUGUGUAUACAAAGUCAAUUGUUUUGUUAUGUUAUGUUUGAUAGUAGCAGAUGUAUAUUUCCUUUGCUUGUUUUAUAUUUCCUUCAAUUGCUGGGUAUGAAAAUCUCAUGUUCACUACAAGAAAAAUAAUGUGUCACGGCCCUUUUUUGGUGUUUCCAAAAAACGCUGUCAAAGUCAUUUAAAUACAGCGCCUUUUUCAAUGCCAAAUAAAUGCAGUAAGACAGCAUCAUUUUGUACGCUGGUCAAUGAAGAGUUGUGGGACGACAUUUCUGAAAUGUUUUCCAAGCGGGUAUCAUUUUAUGCACUAUAAACUAUGUAUAACAUUUACUUUUUCAAGCUGGCCUUAUAAUUGCUCUUAUCUGUCUUUAUCUCCACAACAGAACUGAGAGAGUAAACGCUAAUCCUUGAAACCCUAGAAGAGAUGGAGGCCAAAGGCAGUGGAAGGAGGCUUAAGGUUAGGAAUGUUGCUUGGCAGAUGAUGUCACUUACAACAAUAUUAUCUGAGGAUUUAUUGGACAACACAAGUGCUAUGAGGCAUUAAUACUCGUUGAGGAAAUGGGUCAAAGGGGUUUUUCACCAGAUGCAUCCACUUUUCCUUGAUCGUAGAAAUACUCUCAACUAAAGGACAAGAUCGUGCUCUACAGGAUGUGAUAAAGAAGUUCAUGCCAAAGAUAGUCAUGGAAUGCAAGGGAUUGAGUAAAUUUCUUAAGCAGUGAAGUGCUUCUAAUAUUUGCUGCCUUCCUCCCUUUUCUCCUCUAUAUGAUGAAAUUUGGUAAACAUUUGUACUCUCUCUCUCUCUCUCUCUCUCUCUCUCUGUGGGAUAAAAUCAAAUGCAUGAAGGAGUAUGUGAAUUAAUGAAGGCCCUGCUGUUGAAUUGCUUCUUGUGUAACAUGUUUGUUACUUGUAUGUAUGAUUGUGGAACUGGGAUCUUGAAACUCUGUAGUUGAAGCUUAAUACUUCAAGUCUUGCUGGGUUAAGGUAUAUAUGUCAUGGUAGAUGUAAAAUUUGUCUUUGUUGUGAGAGAAGUUUUCUAGUCUUUACUAUAAAGAAAGUUGUAAAUGGAAUAUCGUUGGAAGAACAAUGUAGCCGGAUAAUGAAAUCUCUUUUAAAAAAUACAAAUGAUCUGUGAGGCUCCUGUUACCCUCAUCAAUUUUUGUUGUGUAGAUCUACCAAAUAAAAUGCUUUUUUGUUUUCUUAAAAUAUCAUGCUUUUUUAUUUUUGUCACCGUUAGUAAAAAAAUCCGUGUCUAGAAAAUUGAUCUAUUUGUUUUUGAAGUCCAAGAUGAAGCUCAAGAGUUGCUGUAAUUGUAAAGCUUGGUUUCACUCACAGUAUUUCAUGUUGAGUUUGGAUAUUAGAUUUGUCUAGGGAUUUCUAGUGUUAAAAAAAAAUAAAAAAAGGAAAGAAAAGAUGUGAAAAGGAAGUGAAGUUUAAUCUGUGUGUGUGUGUGUGUGUGUAGGGGAUGGUAGUAUAAUAAAUCCCUUAAGAGGAUGAUUGGAUUCCACAUUUAAGUAACCCAUUGAAGGGGAGGGGGCUAGGUUGUAUCAAUAUGAUAACUUCAAUUCACUUAUCAGUGAACCCGAGCAAAGAUAAAUUGAUUUGGAGAGGGGUACAUUCCUCCUCCAAACCCAAUGUCAAUGUAUCAGUUUGGAAGGGAUUGUGGCAGUUUCACAUCGCUGCUAAAUGGUCUGUAUUCAUCUGGAAAUGUUUGCACAACAUUCUUCCAGUUAGAUGGAAUUUGAAAUGAAGGGGAAGGGGAAUUGACGUGGAUCCUAUUGUCCUCGUUGCCAUUCAGCUACGGAAACCAUUGAACGUUUAUAUUUUGAAUGCAAUGAAUCACAAUACAUUUGGCGAGGAUCACGGUUGAGGUUAGAUUUUACACAAGGUGAACUGCUAUCUUUGAAGAAGUGGUUUUAUCAAUGGGUGGAGGCUGUAAAAGACGAGGCUGUAGUCAUGUUGUCAGUAGUAAUUUUAUGGGCAAUAUGGGGGACAGCAGAACCAGCUGGUUUUUAAUAAUAUUUUGGAAUCACCAUUUUGCAAUCGAUUCAGAUGUUGGAAGUUAGGCUGGAACAAAGCAAACAAUUUCAUUUUCUUUUAAUGAUACGCGUUGCCCUAUGAUAGCCCUAUGGAUAAUGAUACGAAUUGCUGUCUUCUUGGGAAUUCUCUUGCUCGUAACUCUGAAUUUCAGGUCUGGAUGUUUUGGUUGAUGGAGCGUGGAAGUCGCAAAGCUGUCAGGCUGCAUAUGCUUUGGGUUUACUAUGAUGAGAAUCAGGAAAUGGUGGAUCGUCGAGUACAGCACACUCAUCUUGUGUUGCCACUAGUUGCGGAGGCAAAGGCAUGUUUAGCUGCCUUUCAAUGGGCAAAGGAACGGCAAUUGCAGUGUGUGUUUUCUCAGAUUGUCAAGUUUUGAUAAAUACCUUGAACGGUGCUGGGCUUCCCAAGUGGAGUUCUGCUUCGGUCAUUCAGGAUAUUAGAAAUCAUGCUACUUGUUUUAAGUUUCUUUGUAUUUCGAAAGUCAUAGAUCUCUUGUGAGUCGGCUUCUGUGAUCAACCUUUGUUAACUAAUAUAUCUAGUUUUUUGGUUUGAUCAAAAAAACAAUC